AAACAAUCACAGUAUUUUCAGGAUUAGAGGAAAAUAAAAAAGAAGAUGACCUAUUUAUCUUUUCAAAAGUUUCAGUUGUGAAGACUUCUUUGUGGGUCUGAUGUAUGCUUGUAAUCACCUUGAAUGUCCCCAGAAUACAUAACAAGAGGAAGCUCAAAAUGAACCGCUGUGAGAGGAAUCCAGCAGCUGCCCCAUGUUAGGUGCAAAGAAAAUAAGAAGUACCUCUACUGAACUAUGAGGAAGUUUUCAUCAACAGCUAAUGCCUAGAGCUCUGCUUUUGAUUUUUCUUUUGCACAUAAAGGUAAGCAAAGUUCUCCAGUCUGUCUCAUUACACAGCAUUAAAAAUUCUUGAUGUUGAAACACCUUUACAGUAGAGACAAGUGCUUUCUUUCAAAUUUUAUGUUUCCAGAAGCAGAAGAUGAUUGACAGUGAGUGCAAAACAGCCAACACAGGGAGUGAGCUUCCUCAAGUCUUCUGCAGCCCAAAAGAUUUCCUCUGGAAGCCUCACUAGGAGAGGUAGGUGCUGCUGGCUUGGUCUGUAUUGUCCAAACUCUGUAAGCUAUAAACUGGAGCCUGAAUUGUGUUGGAAUUGAAAUUUCCUCAGCACCAAAACUGCUAUUUCUGAAUGUAGCCAGGUUGCUUUCUGAAAUGUGAAGGAGAGAAUGGAAUUUCUGAAAAGCAUGCCAACUCCCCUUGGAGGUGUGAGGCAGCUGAUGGCAAUUUGACAGAGCCCCUGGUAUGGGCCAGCAGGUAACUCUGCCCACACCACAGGUAGUACCCAGGUGCCUGCCUCUGGGGGUCAAGCCUCUCAGAGAGCCUGGAGCCUAAAUUGGGAGCACCUCAAGCACUCAGGCUAGCACCUUGUCUGGCCAGGAAGUAGCUUUUGUACCUGCAGUAAAUAAAGCAACAGACAGACAAAAUGCUUUCCUGCACUUAGUUAUGAGCCCAGAUACAUCAUCAAGUUCUUUGUACGUCAGCCCAGCCAGCACUUACAGAGUAUACACCUUAAAGGCUAUAAUGAGCUGUAAAACAUCCCUUUUCAAGUCAAAAAUUCAUUCAUACUUUAAACUCUUAAUUUUAUUUGUUAUCAACAGUUGGAGUUACAGAAAAAAGUUAGGUUCAAG
rnacentral:lncRNA from 1 species